CCUACGGGAGGCAGCAGUGAGGAAUUUUGGUCAAUGGUCGAGAGUCUGAACCAGCCAAGUAGCGUGAAGGAUGACUGCCCUAUGGGUUGUAAACUUCUUUUAUAUGGGAAUAAAAUGUUCCACGUGUGGGAUUUUGUAUGUAUCAUAUGAAUAAGGGACGGCUAACUUCGUGCCAGCAGCCGCGGCAAUACGGAGGAUCCGAGCGUUAUCCGGAUUUAUUGGGUUUAAAGGGAGCGUAGGUGGAUUGUUAAGUCAGUUGUGAAAGUUUGUGGCUCAACCGUAAAAUUGCAGUUGAAACGGGCAGUCUUGGAGACAGUAGGGGUGGGCGGAAUUCGUGG
rnacentral:rRNA from 1 species